UACAGAGGUCUCAAGCGUUGUUCGGAUUCAUUGGGCGUAAAGGGUGCGUAGGCGGCGCGAUAAGUCGGGUGUGAAAUCUCGGAGCUUAACUCCGAAACUGCAUUCGAUACUGCCGUGCUUGAGGACUGGAGAGGAGACUGGAAUUUACGGUGUAGCGGUGAAAUGCGUAGAUAUCGUAAGGAAGACCAGUGGCGAAGGCGGGUCUCUGGACAGUUCCUGACGCUGAGGCACGAAGGUCAGGGGAGCAAACGGG
rnacentral:rRNA from 1 species